rnacentral:lncRNA from 1 species
ACACCUGCAGCAUAUGGAAGUUCCCAGGAUAGGGGGUAAAUUGGAGCUGCAGCUGCCGGGCUACACCACAGCCACAGCAACGUGAGAUCCGAGCUACAUCUGUGACCUACACUGCAGCUCACAGCAAUGCCGGAUCCUUAAUGUACUGAGCAAGGCCAGGUAUAGAACCGGCAUCCUCAUGGAUACUAACAUCUCUCCCUUAAUGACCCUGUUUGCCAGUUCACACUUCUGCUAAUUUUCCAUUUAUCAUUAUCAAUACCACUUGAAGGUAUUGCUCUGAAAGUUAUUUGGUGAAGCCUACAAUUAAGUCAAUUAAACUAACAUUAACUGAGGGCUGACUCUGUGUGUAUGGAACUAGAAGAUAAAAUUCAUAAUCUAACAUAAAAGAAUUUUAUUAUCUUCAGCCUAUUAGUUAUAAGACAGAAUAUGAUUUAAGUAACAUAACUUCUAUCCUGCCUUACUUAUGACAGUAUUUGUUUGAUUAAAAAAGUUUUACAAAAGUAGGUGAUAAUGUUCAAAUUUAUCAUUUACCCCAUAUUAGGCAACAGCUGUGUUGAAUGUACAAUCUGUUUUACCAGUUCCUACAAUCCUGUGUGAUAUCUUGAGUUGGUGUAUUUCUAAGCAUCCGUUUCAUCCACAUUGUACAACUUCUUGAAACAAGAACAAGAUUCUAUAUUCAUUCCAUAAACUUUCAUCUUGCUAUUCUCAGACCACUGUGCCAAAAUCCUUAUUAGAUCUUAAUUCAGCCAUUCAACAGAGUAGCUACAUUUCCUUAGUUUAUGUAUUUUGCUUAAUGUGAUAACCCUAUCAUUUCUAAAGUUCCCACAAAGUUGAGAGGCAGUUGACUCUUUUCUUAUUAAUACAGUAAAGGUAAUACACCUGGUAUUAAUCAGCAUUUAUUCAUUAUUUGCAUAUAUCUGUUUGAAUAUAAAUAUUUGCAUAUAUCUAUUAAUUUGCAUAUGUGUAUUUACUUAUAUUAUUUUCAUAUCAUUUCAAAAUUACAAUGGUUACAUAAGAUUUUAAAAGUAAAACAGACCCUAAAUAUUAAGGGAUGCUGUGAUGGUUAAUUUUGGUUUGUUUGGGUUUUUUUUUUUUUUUUUGUCUUUUUAGGGCUGUACCUACAGCACACAGAAGUUCCCAGGCUAGGGGUCAAAUCAGAGCUGUAGCCUCCAGCCUACAACCACAACCACAGCAUUGCAGGAUCCUAGCUGUGUCUGUGGCCUACAACACAGCUCAUGGCAAUGCUGUGAAUUUCAAGGAUUCCACUCAGGAUCCCUAACCCACUGAGUGAGGCCAGGAAUCGAACCUGCACCCUCAUGGACACUAGUUGGGUUUGUUACCGCUGAGCCACAACAGAACUCCCAGUGCUGGUUAAUUUUGGAUCAACUUUGCUAGACCA